CUGACCUCAAAUCAGGUAGGACUACCCGCUGAACUUAAGCAUAUCAAUAAGCGGAGGAAAAGAAACUAACAAGGAUUCCCCUAGUAGCGGCGAGCGAAGCGGGAAGAGCUCAAAUUUGAAAUCUGGCGUCCUCAGGGCGUCCGAGUUGUAAUCUAUAGAAACGUUUUCCGUG
rnacentral:rRNA from 1 species